AUGGCGCCAGGGUUCACCAAAUUUGAUGUGGAGAAAUUCGAUGGCACGGGUAACUUCGGUCUAUGGCAGACAAGAGUUAAGGAUAUUCUGGCGCAGCAGGGAAUCUUGAAGGGUUUGCAGGAGACGAAGCCAGCCAAGGUUGACAACGCUGCGUGGGAGGAUAUGCAAGUGCAGGCGGCCGCUACCAUACGGCUUUGUCUUGCGGAUCAGGUCAUGUAUCAUGUCAUGGACGAAGAUACUCCAAAGGGAAUUUGGGACAAGUUGGCAAAUCGUUAUAUGUUCAAGUCGGCGACCAACAUGCUGUAUUUGAAGCAAAAGUUCUAUGGCUAA
rnacentral:rRNA from 1 species